ACCUAUAAAAAGCUCAUGUACCACGUGAUACUUAUCAACCAAAAUAGUUGUGUUUUUUUUCUCUACCUAACGAAUUUUGGUCAGACUUCUGUUUUGACUAAUUUAUAACCUAUACGCGAGAUAACAAAAAAAGUCUGCACAUUUUUUUUUCUCUUGGUGUUAUCUCUGUGAUCCAAGAGCAGAGGUGACCUUCUAACAAUAUUGCCAAACGUUAGCGAAUCGACCAGUGCGCAAAGUGUCGCUGGCAGUUCACUGGAUCUAUCGCUCACACACACAGGGAGUUUGAACUAACUUCGCGGGUGGGGUUUAAAUUUGAGUUUUGAAUUGAUACGCAGGCAUAGAAAGAAAUGGCUUCUAGAACUUUCGGAUUCGGCCUCAGAGCUUUCAAAAAAUACCCGGAGUUGAUUCCCUUGGUCUCCAUUAUCGGUACAGCCUGCAUCGGUUGCGCAGCGUUCAUGGUCUACGCAGUGGCUACGAAGCCAGAUGUCAGGUUGGUCAAAUCUCGAGGUCCAGCAUACGAGGACGUGGAACCCACAGAAUCUCGUAAACUUAUUGACUUGGACAAAGCAAAGUAUCGACCCAUUCCUGAAUUGGAACAGCUGAAGAAAGAAAUCGGCAGUUAUAAAUCAUAAAGACCUGAAGUUUUCUUGUUAACAAAUAAGUUGUGAUCUGUGGGUUUUUUUAGUCUACGUCUGCUCUUGGGAGCGUUUCGCGGGUCAUAGAUUGCCUCCCUUUGUUUUUAAACCUUGGUAAACAAGAGAUUAGCUCCCGUGUUAGUUUUUAUUUUACAGAAUGUUUCCGUUGGUUUAUGUAUAUUGCUGCCAUAAUGCCGAUACAUAUCUUUUUAUAUUGUGUGUAUGAUACGAAUGAAUGCGAGGCAGUCUUGGUCUGUAUGUCUACCUUGUCGGUCACUGUAAGAGCUUGGCCAUUAGCCUAGCUCGUUCAUGUUAGAAAAUAUUCCAUUGAAUGUUUCUUUAUGUAGUUUUUGUUAAGAAUAAUUUAUCUAAUAAAUAUUUAUACAUAUAA